rnacentral:rRNA from 1 species
GUAGUCAUAUGCUUGUCUCAAAGAUUAAGCCAUGCAUGUCUAAGUAUAAGCAAUUAUACCGUGAAACUGCGAAUGGCUCAUUAAAUCAGUUAUCGUUUAUUUGAUAGUACCUUACUACUUGGAUAACCGUGGUAAUUCUAGAGCUAAUACAUGCUGAAAACCCCAACUUCGGAAGGGGUGUAUUUAUUAGAUAAAAAACCAAUGCCCUUCGGGGCUCCUUGGUGAUUCAUAAUAACUUCUCAGAUCGCAUGGCCUUGCGCCGGCGACGGUUCAUUCAAAUUUCUGCCCUAUCAACUUUCGAUGGUAAGGUAUUGGCUUACCGUGGUUUCAACGGGUAACGGGGAAUUAGGGUUCGAUUCCGGAGAGGGUGCCUGAGAAACGGCUACCACAUCCAAGGAAGGCAGCAGGCGCGCAAAUUACCCAAUCCCGACACGGGGAGGUAGUGACAAUAAAUACUGAUACAGGGCUCUUUUGGGUCUUGUAAUUGGAAUGAGUACAAUUUAAACCUCUUAACGAGGAACAAUUGGGGGGCAAGUCUGGUGCCAGCAGCC